rnacentral:tRNA from 1 species
GCGGAUGUGGCGGAAUUGGUAGACGCGCCAUCUUGAGGGGGUGGUAGCCUAUGGCUGUGUGGGUUCAAGUCCCACCAUCCGCACCA